AUGUCCUUUUCGGUUGCAGAGGAGACCUUCACAUGUAUCCGGUCACCACCCUUCUGGGUACCAGGAGCGCCGCCGGCCUCCUGGUUGGCCUCAUCAGGAGAGCAACUAAUGGAGAUGGAUGAGCAACUAUGUUUGGUUCGCAACAGAAUCCCUCAUGGUAGUAACACUUUGGAGAUCUGGAAACUGCUGGACUAUAGCUCUGGUGACUGGUUACUGAAUCAUCGAAUUAAUUUGUCGGGGCACCUGGCAAGAGAUUUGCGUCAGUCACAAAUUCUGAGAGUUAUUGGAUCUUUUCGUAGUUACAGGUCGACAAGGAAGAAGAUAAUCAUCACUACUAGCAUGCACAAGAUUUUCAACAAGUAUCAGAAAAUGGUUCACACCUAUGACCCUAGGUCUGAGGCUCUGGAAACCAUUCUUUCAAUCACAGAGACACACUCAAUUCCACAAUAUGCUUGUCCUAGUUCAAGAUUCGGUUUCAUUCAAGAAACCCUUGCUCCCGUGCAUAGAACAGAUGAAGCCUUGUCAUCUGACCUGGCAAAGGUGACUAGAGAGAUCCUACUCCGCCUCCCAGCUAAAUCAGCCAUACUGUCCAAAUUUGUCUGCAAGCAGUGGUUCAGAUUGAUUGAGAGUGAAAACUUCAUUCGGUCAUACUUUCAGCAUAAGAACAUGGACAAAAGACCUAAGGUCAUGCUUGUGGUCAAGAGCACUGGACAGUUGGGCUUCAGUUUCACUCCAUUGAAUAAAUGCCUACAAGAAGCUCCUAGUCACAGUACAUUGCUUGAUACGAAGGUGGUUUGCUCUAAGCCUUGCCAUGGGCUGAACUUGGUAAGCACCGAGACGAAGGACUAUCUCUGCAAUCCAUGUACAGGUUUCCACAGGGUUUACCGUAACCUGGGGCCAAAUUUGCACCUUCCCUCGAGAAUGCCUAAAGCAGAAGAGCAUGCUUUUACAGUCGGCAAUAAAAAUGUUGGCUUGACUUUCAGCCCUUCGACUCGUCAACAUGUUAUCGUGGAAAUCUUCUAUCACCGGAAGGACUUCAAAUCUCGUCAGUAUGACAUGACAUGCGCGUUAUACUGGUGUAACUCUUGGAGUGCUGCCCAACAGAUCUCGGUACCUCCUCUGCCUGUGAAUGAUAUGCCACCGGCCUAUGUUGAAGGAGUGCUGUACUGGAUGAGUGAACCAAGGUUGGGACAGUGCUGUGAAUGGACCAUUGUCUCUUUCAAUCUUGCUAAAAGAACGUUUGAUGUUGUCCCCUGUCCUUCGUGGUUUGCAAGAUGGAAUAGCAGAAACCGCUGUCGUGCAUUUGUUGUUGAGCUCGAGGGAGUAUUAUGCGCUGUCCUAGCAGAUCCAGUGGCAGACAAAUUAGAUGUAUGGAAGCUAGAGCAUGGCCAAUGGGGCAGAGCAUACACAAUUAACCUGGAAGCAUGUCCUGGCUAUUCCCUCAAGACAAGUGUUGUGAUGCCAUUAGCUGUUGAUCCUGAUCAUGGGAGGAUCCUGCUCAACACUGGGAGAAAGAUAGGUCUAUAUGAUCCAGUAGAGCAAACAAUUCUAAAUCUGCAUUCACUUGAUCAGGUACAGGCUGCCAGUAGUCCACACCUUGAGAUGCCUUCAACGUCAUCACGGAAUAGUUUGACAUGCUCCAAAGAAGAGUCGGCGGCGGAAAUGAAUAGAAUGGACUCUGAAAUUAUUCCUUUUGUUCCUAUGUUAUACGAGGAGAGCUUGGCAUGUUACUCUUCUGUGCGCAAAGCAAAAAUGCUGUGGUGA
rnacentral:rRNA from 1 species